GUACGUACAUUAAACAUACAAUGUAAUCUGAAAGCUAACAUAUAACAUAUAUAUGUAGUUAUCUUCAUUAAAAGUUUGCACAUGAAAGUAUCAUACUCUUAUAGUAUCUCUUAAUUAAAACACAUAUCGGAUUUAAAACCUUUUCAAAAUGGGUCAAGGGACAGGUUCCGGGGACGGAGGUCCGAAAUUCCUGUGGGGAAUUCUUUGGUUUCUGUGUAUAUGGUUCAUAGCGUGGCCGGUAGCGUUCUUUUUGGCUUGGCUCUACAUUUUCCUACUUCCGUUCAGCGUCUGUAUAGAUCCAUUAAAGGACGUUUGUCAGUUUUUACAAAAGUGUGUACAACUACCUUUAACGUGUGCUGAAAAUAUGGUCGCCAUGAAACCCAUGUGUUAGUUAUUUUUAGAACAAUUCAUUGACAAUGCACGUGACAGUUAUUAUAUAUCAAGUGAAUAAUUUUUAAAAACAUGCAUUGUGAACAUUAUUUUAGCGACGUCAUAAAAAUUACUGAUGAUUAUCAACCUUUAAACCAAUUUGAAUUUAAAAAAAAACGCUCAGCGAAGAUGCAGCGAGGACGUUGAUAUUUACAAAUCUAUGUGUGGUAAUUAUGUGGUUUACUUAAAAAGAAACAACGAGAUUAUUUCAUUGAACAGAAUAAUAUAUUUUAAAAGUUACAACUUUCUUCUGGUGCGUUUUACAUCUGUAACCCAAAGAAAACAAGGUGCAAUUUUAAAGAUUAACGUCACUUCACUUACUUCAUAGCUGCAAUGUUCAACUACAUGUAUUUAUAAUUCUGGUGAAUAUUAUAGAAUGUGCAAUAUUUGUGUUAAUACGAGCUGAAGUUCGUGUAGUCGAUAUGAUAUUCAAAUUAAACAUAUGUAAAUAUAUGCAUUUAUCAUGUAAUUAUAUAUGAUACAUUACAUGAAUAUA